rnacentral:rRNA from 1 species
CAGCCGCCGCGGUAAUACGUAGGUGGCAAGCGUUGUCCGGAAUUAUUGGGCGUAAAGGGCUCGCAGGCGGUUUCUUAAGUCUGAUGUGAAAGCCCCCGGUUCAACCGGGGAGGGUCAUUGGAAACUGGGGAACUUGAGUGCAGAAGAGGAGAGUGGAAUUCCACGUGUAGCGGUGAAAUGCGUAGAGAUGUGGAGGAACACCAGUGGCGAAGGCGACUCUCUGGUCUGUAACUGACGCUGAGGAGCGAAAGCGUGGGGAGCGAACAGGAUUAGAUACCCCCGUAGUCCCUGUCUCUUAUAA